CUGAUCUCAGAUGGUGGAUAGA
rnacentral:miRNA from 1 species